AGAGCGAACGCUGGCGGCAGGCCUAACACAUGCAAGUCGAACGGACCCUUCGGGGUUAGUGGCGGACGGGUGAGUAACACGUGGGAACGUGCCUUUAGGUUCGGAAUAGCUCCUGGAAACGGGUGGUAAUGCCGAAUGUGCCCUUCGGGGGAAAGAUUUAUCGCCUUUAGAGCGGCCCGCGUCUGAUUAGCUUGUUGGUGAGGUAAUGGCUCACCAAGGCUACGAUCAGUAGCUGGUCUGAGAGAUGACCAGCCACAUUGGGACUGAGACACGGCCCAAACUCCUACGGGAGGCAGCAGUGGGGAAUCGUUGCGCGAAUGGGCGAAAGCCUGACGCAGCCAUCGCCGUCGUGUAUGAUGGUAAGGUCUUAGGAUUUGUAAAAU
rnacentral:rRNA from 1 species